rnacentral:rRNA from 1 species
UACAGAGGGUGCGAGCGUUGUUCGGAAUUACUGGGCGUAAAGGGCGCGUAGGCGGCCCGCUAAGUCGAACGUGAAAUCCCCGAGCUCAACUCGGGAACUGCGUCCGAUACUGGCGGGCUUGAAUCCGGGAGAGGGAUGCGGAAUUCCAGGUGUAGCGGUGAAAUGCGUAGAUAUCUGGAGGAACACCGGUGGCGAAGGCGGCAUCCUGGACCGGCAUUGACGCUGAGGCGCGAAAGCGUGGGUAGCAAACAGG